rnacentral:rRNA from 1 species
GACGAACGCUGGCGGCGUGCUUAACACAUGCAAGUCGAACGGAAAGGCCCUGCUUUUGUGGGGGCCCCGAGUGGCGAACGGAUGGGUAACACGUGAGUAACUUGCCUUGGCCUUUGGGAUAACUACCGGAAACUGGGGCUAACACCGGCUAGGAGCUCUUGCUGCAUGGCGGGGGUGGGCAAGUUUCGGCGGUUGGGGUUGGACUGGCGGCUUAGCAGCUUGUUGGUGGGGUAGUGGCUUACCAGGGUUUUGACGGGCAGCCGGCCUGAGAGGGUGACCGGCCACAUUGGGACUGAGAUACGGCCCAGACUCCUACGGGAGGCAGCAGUGUGGAAUAUUGCACGAUGGGCGGAAGCCUGAUGCAGCAACGCCGCGUGCGGGAUGACGGCCUUCGGGUUGUAAACCGCUUUCGCCUGUGACGAAGCGUGAGUGACGGUAAUGGGUAAAGAAGCACCGGCUAACUACGUG